rnacentral:misc_RNA from 1 species
UGUGAACGUUACCAAACUGUUGCCUCGGCGGGAUCUCUGCCCCGGGUGCGUCGCAGCCCCGGACCAAGGCGCCCGCCGGAGGACCAACCAAAACUCUUUUUGUAUACCCCCUCGCGGGUUUUUUAUAAUCUGAGCCUUCUCGGCGCCUCUCGUAGGCGUUUCGAAAAUGAAUCAAAACUUUCAACAACGGAUCUCUUGGUUCUGGCAUCGAUGAAGAACGCAGCGAAAUGCGAUAAGUAAUGUGAAUUGCAGAAUUCAGUGAAUCAUCGAAUCUUUGAACGCACAUUGCGCCCGCCAGUAUUCUGGCGGGCAUGCCUGUCCGAGCGUCAUUUCAACCCUCGAACCCCUCCGGGGGGUCGGCGUUGGGGAUCGGCCCUGCCUCUGGCGGUGGCCGUCUCCGAAAUACAGUGGCGGUCUCGCCGCAGCCUCUCCUGCGCAGUAGUUUGCACACUCGCAUCGGGAGCGCGGCGCGUCCACAGCCGUUAAACACCCAACUUCUGAAAUG